rnacentral:lncRNA from 1 species
GGUGAAGCCCUGAGCAACAUGUGGUCUGGUACUGCUAGAUUCAUGAGUCCCCAUCUGCUCAGAAUUCAAGAUGGGAUCUCUGCUCUUAGCAUCAAGACCCUUUUUGAUGAAUGCAAAUGGUGGCUGACAGAAUGUGACUCAGAGGAAAGACUGACAGUCUACAUCAGUCUCCUGAUUUACAGCACAUUUAACUCUCCUGAGUCAACACAAAGAAAAAGAAACAGGAUAUUAGUAACGAGAAGAAAAGCCAUGUGAAUCCAUAGGGAGAAGGCAGCUGUCUGCAUACCAGGAGGAGAGCUCCCACCCGAACCCAACCAUAGUGCCACCCUGAUCUUGUACUUCCAGCCUCUCAGCUGUGAGAAAAUAAAUGUCUGUUGUUUAAGAC